rnacentral:rRNA from 1 species
ACGGGUGAGUAACGCGUGGGAAUCUACCUAGUUCUACGGAACAACAGUUGGAAACGACUGCUAAUACCGUAUACGCCCUACGGGGGAAAGAUUUAUCGGAAUUAGAUGAGCCCGCGUAAGAUUAGCUAGUUGGUGAGGUAAUGGCUCACCAAGGCGACGAUCUUUAGCUGGUCUGAGAGGAUGAUCAGCCACACUGGGACUGAGACACGGCCCAGACUCCUACGGGAGGCAGCAGUGGGGAAUAUUGGACAAUGGGCGCAAGCCUGAUCCAGCCAUGCCGCGUGAGUGAUGAAGGCCUUAGGGUUGUAAAGCUCUUUCACCGAUGAAGAUAAUGACGGUAGUCGGAGAAGAAGCCCCGGCUAACUUCGUGCCAGCAGCCGCGGUAAUACGAAGGGGGCUAGCGUUGUUCGGAUUUACUGGGCGUAAAGCGCACGUAGGCGGUUUGUUAAGUCAGAGGUGAAAUCCCGGAGCUCAACUCCGGAACUGCCUUUGAUACUGGCAAGCUAGAGUCCGGAAGAGGUAAGUGGAACUCCUACUGUAGAGGUGGAAUUCGUACA